GGUACUAAAAUAAGAACCAUAUUAUAUUUUAGAACAUUUAUUGUAAAUACUUGGGUAAUUGAGAAUAUAUUGUUGAACUGUGUGUCAUAGCUUGCUAAGGCAAACUAUAUUUUUAUACUGUAAUCACUAGCAAAGGUGUUUGUAAAGAAUUUGGGCUUGGGCUUACAUUGGUGAACACUUUUGUUUGUGAGUGAAGGCAUGCAUAGUUGGGAUAUAGUUGGGAGAUGUAAUGAGUUGUGGGCAGUCACAUAACGUUCUUGAGAGAGAAACUGUGUGUUAAGAUAUUGUGAAAUAUUUUAUUCUGUAUAACUCUGGGUUGAUGACAACCUGUAUUUGUGUAUUGGGUCCUGGUGAUGACGAACGUAGAUGAUGUAUUCUGGGAGUUGGCGAAGAGUGAGUCUGGUGAAUGGCGGUGGUGAUAAUGGUGAACAGAGAAGAUGAUCAGUGAAUGAUCGUGACGACGGGGUCAUUGAUUUUGACGAACGGCGAGGGUGAUCUGAGUGACCCUGACAAAGAGUGUGGAUGAUUCUGGUGAAUUAUGGUGGUGAUAAUGGUGAACAGAGAAGAUGAUCAGUGAAUGAUCGUGACGACGGUGUCAGUGAUUUUGGCGAACGACGAAGGUGAUCUGUGAAUGAUCCUGACAAAGAGUGUUGAUGAUUCGGGUGAAUGAUGGUGGUAAUACUGGUGAAUGGAGGAGAUGAUCAGUGAAGGAUCGUGAUGAGGGUACCAAUGAUUAUGGUGAACGGAGAUGAUCAGUGAAUGACCGUGACGAGGGGGUUAGUGAUUCUGGUGAACGACAGGGGUAUUAAUGGUAAACGACAACGGUGAUCAGUGAAUGAUCAUUAUGAGAUGUGAUGAUUCUAGUGAAUGAUAAUAAUGAUAAUGGGGAAUGGUGAAGAUUAUCAGUGAAUGAUCAUGACAAGGGUGAUGAUGAGGGUGACUUCUGAUGAUGAAUUGUGAAAUGUGAUGAAUAGUGGAAGACAGACAUUUUAGUAUUAUUUUGUGGUUAAAAGAUUUUUACUCUAUUUAAUGUUGAUUCAUAGUUUAAUUUACAUGUGAUAUGUGUUACAUGCGUGAUAGUGCAAUAUGUAUUGGUUGGGAGGGAAGUGUUAUGUAAAUAAAUGUGUAUGAAUGA